AGCAGGGAAGGCUGCGUAGCGGCAGCGCGGCAGGCCUCCCAGCGCCAAUGUGCAAGGGUGGGGCCGAGGCUGGGGAGCGGGGCCCGCGGAGCUGCCCAAACCGCCUCCUCCCGAGACGUCCGGCCCACCCGCUUCUCCCGCGUGUGAGGUGGUGCCGCGUCCGCCCCAAAUCUCGGCCCCUUCCCCCGACCCCAGAGGGCCCGGGGAGGGCUGCCCGCACUGCCGGGCCCGGCACGCGCUCUUGACCCUCGGCCCCGGGCUCUCCUUAGGCGCGCGGGACGCGGAGGACGCUCCCGCACGGGUGAUGGGGCUACGGGGUGAGCGCGGCAGCCGCGACACCGCCCACCCGGCCUGCCGCAGCCGCGACCCGGCGCCCGGGAGCCGUCCCCGCCCACGGGCCGCGGCUGCCCGCACCUGGCGGCCGCGCGCCCGCCUACCUUGUUCCUUCAGGCUGGUGAUGAGCUGCAGCUGCUUCUCCUCGUCCGAGCUGUUCAUUUUGGCAGACGAGAAGCUGAGCAGCUAGAUUAACUUGCCCUGAGCCUUUCGGCUACCACAUUCAAGUGUAUUUCUGUGAUGCCACGUGGAUUAGAGGGGAGGAGAGAAUUGGCCACGCAGACUAGAGGGGAGGAGAGAAAUGGCAGGUGAACACCGGGAGAUCCACUCUGCCCCUGCCAGUUUAACGUGUGGCUUCUUUACCGAGUCAUGGCUCCUGGGGCAGUCAUUAGCACUGGUAGCCCAUAGGCCCUGUCCCUCUCCUGAGCUUCCUACAGAUAGAACUCCAGCUGCCCACAGCCCAAGAUCUCUCCAGUCACAGCAGAUGCUAUCAGAAUUCGGGGGUUGGGGGGAAGGGAGAAGGCUGCACACAAAAUUUGGGGGGUGGGGGGGUGCAGUGCUAUAUUUCAAAAAGAUGGUCAUGGCACUUUGGAAAUACCGGUUUAAAGUCCAUGGUGUGCCCCCUUUUAGCUAACUUCAGCUACUUCUCAUUUUUCUAACUGUACAUCCACAUAUUUUCAUUAGAAAGCUAAUGACCUCAAAGCACUCUCAGCAAAUACUGAAUGAUCCUAUCUUGCAAUCUCUAAUAGCCUAUGUGCUGACUUAGUGUCAUAAAUUAAUAAAGUACAUGUCAAAGCAUAAAAUCAAACUCUGUGAUGGGGUGCACGUUCUGGAAACUUGUUUCAUUUUUAAUAACAAAUUCAGAGGUGGGAGCAUCUCUAAUACUUCUCAUUCCCCAGUACCCAAAUCUUGGUAGAGUUCCUCAGUAAACAUUCCAGGAGAGAUCCUUAACGUGUUCCUGAAUGCUCUGAAAUUGUAUGCAAGAUUGUGAGGGCGUAUGUACAUCUCUCUGGGGAAAGGAUCCUUAACUUUCAUCAGAUUCUCAAAGGACCUGUAACUCCCCAAAGGUUGAGAAUUACUGCAUUUCAGUGAUACCACCACACAUCAUAGUUCCCCCCUUGCACAGUUUUGGUAUGUGUAAAUGUUUUUCUGUAGUGUUCUGGGGAACUAGAAGGAUUUCAAUUUCGUUUCCAUAACAUAGCCCAUUUCUACUGGGGAUACUUAAAAGAAUAGGGAACUGACACUAGGAACAGGAAAUGUUACAGCUGGUGAGGCGGGAGUGGGAGGUUUUGUGACACCUUGGGAGAGAUGAAGGAGUCCAGGGAAAAGAAACCUGCUUUUGCACUGCCCUCCCGUGUCUGCAGGGAGGAUGGGCAGACGACGCUACCAGAGCCCGGAGUCAUCCUGGCCAAAGCUAAAGCUCUCAACCCGAGGAAUUAAGAGACACAGAAGCCCCCCCCCCCCACCCCGGGGUUCAGUUCCGCAACACCUCCGGGGAGUUGGGGGUUGAAAAAAUUAAGGUCUCGUGGAAAGAAAAGACCCAUUUGUAGUUUCUAAAAUAAAACAAUAUAAGACAUGA